AUGGCAUACUGCUCAGUAACACGUGGAUAACCUGCCCUUGGGUCUGGGAUAACCCCGGGAAACUGGGGAUAAUACCGGAUAACGCAUAUGUGCUGGAAUGCUUUAUGCGUAAAAUGGAUUCGUCCGCCCAAGGAUGGGUCUGCGGCCUAUCAGGUAGUAGUGGGUGUAAUGUACCUACUAGCCAACAACGGGUACGGGUUGUGAGAGCAAGAGCCCGGAGACGGAUUCUGAGACAUGAAUCCAGGCCCUACGGGGCGCAGCAGGCGCGAAAACUUUACAAUGCGGGCAACCGUGAUAAGGGAACCUCGAGUGCCUGUAUAUGCAGGCUGUCUGGGUGUCUAAAACACACCCAAAGAAAGGGCCGGGCAAGACCGGUGCCAGCCGCCGCGGUAAUACCGGCGGCUCGAGUGGUGGCCACUUUUAUUGGGCUUAAAGCGUUCGUAGCUGGGUUAUUAAGUCCCUUGGGAAAUCCGACAGCUUAACUGUCGGGCGUCUAAGAGAUACUGGUAAUCUUGGAACCGGGAGAGGUGAGGGGUACUUCGGGGGUAGGAGUGAAAUCCUGUAAUCCUCGAGGGACCACCUGUGGCGAAGGCGCCUCACCAGAACGGCUUCGACAGUGAGGGACGAAAGCUGGGGGAGCAAACCGGAUUAGAUACCCGGGUAGUCCCAGCCGUAAACGAUGUGCGUUAGGUGUAUCGGUGACCACGAGUCACCGAGGUGCCGAAGGGAAACCGUGAAACGUACCGCCUGGGAAGUACGGUCGCAAGGCUGAAACUUAAAGGAAUUGGCGGGGGAGCACCACAACAGGUGGAGCCUGCGGUUUAAUUGGACUCAACGCCGGAAAUCUCACCGGA
rnacentral:rRNA from 1 species